GUCGAAAUCAAUUCCGUUUGUUUCGCGUGAAAGUAGACUCACAUAUCUACGUUUCUACACUUUUCGUUCGUCAAACGACCCGUCGACUGUUCGUGCUUCGGAGUCUACGCAGGGUUAGCUGUUUGCCAAGAUCACGUGGAUAAGCAAGCAGUUUAUGAUUUGAAAGCUGGUCCACUCCGAUUCUUUUGAUUCCUCGGAGGUUUUAUUGUUAUUAAACUAGUUUCUGUUUUCAAACUCUUAGACCGCAGUAGAACUAGUUUAUAUAUUACGUUUGUUAUUACAUUGGGAUUGUCGAUUAGACCGAUUAUUUAUUAUUAGCAUGUUUA